rnacentral:rRNA from 1 species
GACGAACGCUGGCGGCGUGCUUAACACAUGCAAGUCGAACGAAGUGGCGCACGGGUGAGUAACGCGUAAUCAACCUGCCCUUCAGAGGGGGACAACAGUUGGAAACGACUGCUACUCCCGCAUACUGAAGAGGGGGAUUGCGGCUGAUUAGCUGGUUGGAGGGGUAACGGGCCACCAAGGCGAUGAGCAGGAGCCUGGCUGAGAGGAUGAACCGCCAAAGUGGGACUGAGACACCGCCCAGACUCCUACGGGGGGCAGCAGUGGGGAAUCUUCCGCAAUUGACGAAAGUCUGACGGAGCAACGCCGCGUGAGUGAUGACGGCCUUCGGGUUGUAAAGCUCUGUUAAUCGGGACGCGGUACCGGAAUAGAAAGCCACGGCUAACUACGUGCCAGCAGCCGCGGUAAUAC